AUUGAACGCUGGCGGCAUGCCUUACACAUGCAAGUCGAACGGUAACGGGCCUUCGGGUGCCGACGAGUGGCGAACGGGUGAGUAAUGUAUCGGAACGUACCUUUCAGUGGGGGAUAACGUAGCGAAAGUUACGCUAAUACCGCAUAUUCUGUGAGCAGGAAAGCAGGGGAUCGCAAGACCUUGCGCUGAUUGAGCGGGCGAUAUCAGAUUAGCUAGUUGGUGAGGUAAAGGCUCACCAAGGCGACGAUCUGUAGCGGGUCUGAGAGGAUGAUCCGCCACACUGGAACUGAGACACGGUCCAGACUCCUACGGGAGGCAGCAGUGGGGAAUUUUGGACGAUGGGGGCAACCCUGAUCCAGCCAUGCCGCGUGAGUGAAGAAGGCCUUCGGGUUGUAAAGCUCUUUCGGCCGGGAAGAAAUCGUAUCAGCUAAUACCUGGUGCGGAUGACGGUACCGGCAUAAGAAGCACCGGCUAACUACGUGCCAGCCGCCGCAGUAA
rnacentral:rRNA from 1 species